AGUGAACGCUGGCGGUAGGCCUAACACAUGCAAGUCGAACGGCAGCACAGUAAGAGCUUGCUCUUACGGGUGGCGAGUGGCGGACGGGUGAGGAAUACAUCGGAAUCUACUUUUUCGUGGGGGAUAACGUAGGGAAACUUACGCUAAUACCUCAUACGACCUACGGGUGAAAGCAGGGGAUCUUCGGACCUUUCGCGAUUGAAUGAGCCGAUGUCGGAUUAGCUAGUUGGCGGGGUAAAGGCCCACCAAGGCGACGAUCCGUAGCUGGUCUGAGAGGAUGAUCAGCCACACUGGAACUGAGACACGGUCCAGACUCCUACGGGAGGCAGCAGUGGGGAAUAUUGGACAAUGGGCGCAAGCCUGAUCCAGCAAUACCGCGUGGGUGAAGAAGGCCUUCGGGUUGUAAAGCCCUUUUGUUGGGAAAGAAAAGCAGCAGGUUAAUACCCCGCUGUUCUGACGGUACCCAAAGAAUAAGCACCGGCUAACUUCGUG
rnacentral:rRNA from 1 species